GGGGAUUUAGCUCAGCGGUAGAGAACUUGCCUAGCAAGCACAAGGCCCUGGGUUCGAUCCCCAGCUCCG
rnacentral:tRNA from 1 species